rnacentral:piRNA from 2 species
UACUGAUGUGGUGACUUCUCUGCUA